rnacentral:rRNA from 1 species
GACGUAGGGCGCGAGCGUUGUCCGGAUUUAUUGGGCGUAAAGAGCUCGUAGGCGGCUUGUCGCGUCGUCCGUGAAAACUUGGGGCUCAACCCCAAGCUUGCGGUCGAUACGGGCAGGCUAGAGUUCGGUAGGGGAGACUGGAAUUCCUGGUGUAGCGGUGAAAUGCGUAGAUAUCUGGAGGAACACCGGUGGCGAAGGCGGCAUCCUGGACCGGCAUUGACGCUGAGGAGCGAAAGCCAGGGGAGCAAACGGG